UGGCGAGUGGUGUAGUGGUAGCACAGAGGACUUUGGAUCCUUUAGCCCAGGUUCGAGCCCUGGCUCGCCAG
rnacentral:tRNA from 1 species